rnacentral:rRNA from 1 species
AACGGCCAUACCAUGCUGAAUAUACCGUUUCUCGUUAAAUCACCGAAGUCAAGCAUCAUUGGGCGCGGUCAGUACUUGGGUGGGUGACCACCUGGGAACACCGCGUGCCGUU